CAAUAGCGUAUAUUAAAGUUGUUGCAGUUAAAAAGCUCGUAGUUGGAUUUGUGGCGUACGGUGUGUUCCGGGCACUUGUUGUCUGAGUAACCUGCCGUUGCCAUCCUUGGGUGGAACCUGUGUGGCAUUAGGUUGUCGUGCAGGGGAUGCCCAUCAUUUACUGUGAAAAAUUAGAGUGUUCAAAGCAGGCUUAUGCCUCUGAAUAUAUUAGCAUGGAAUAAUGAUAUAGGACCUUGGUACUAUUUUGUUGGUUUGCGCACUGAGGUAAUGAUUAAGAGGGACAGUUGGGGGUAUUUGUAUUCCAUUGUCAGAGGUGAAAUUCUUGGAUUUUUGGAAGACAAACUACUGCGAAAGCAUUUACCAAGGAUGUUUUCAUUAAUCAAGAACGAAAGUUAGGGGAUCGAAGAUGAUUAGAUACCGU
rnacentral:rRNA from 1 species